UACAGAGGUCUCGAGCGUUGUUCGGAUUCAUUGGGCGUAAAGGGUGCGUAGGUGGCUAGGUAAGUCGGAUGUGAAAUCCCGGGGCUCAACCCCGGAACUGCAUUCGAUACUGCUUGGCUUGAGUACUGGAGAGGAGAUUGGAAUUUACGGUGUAGCAGUGAAAUGCGUAGAUAUCGUAAGGAAGACCAGUGGCGAAGGCGGAUCUCUGGACAGUUACUGACACUGAGGCACGAAGGCCAGGGGAGCAAACGGG
rnacentral:rRNA from 1 species